rnacentral:rRNA from 1 species
UACGAAGGGGGCUAGCGUUGUUCGGAAUCACUGGGCGUAAAGCGCACGUAGGCGGAUCUUUAAGUCAGAGGUGAAAUCCUGGAGCUCAACUCCAGAACUGCCUUUGAUACUGGAGAGCUUGAGUCCGGGAGAGGUGAGUGGAACUGCGAGUGUAGAGGUGAAAUUCGUAGAUAUUCGCAAGAACACCAGUGGCGAAGGCGGCUCACUGGCCUGGUACUGACGCUGAGGUGCGAAAGCGUGGGGAGCAAACAGG